AUCUGACGAGUACAAUAUGUUAACAUACACGGGCAACACAUUAUCUUUAUCUUUAUUAUAUUUCACGAUCCUUACGUUCUCUGAAAUUCAAAACCCUAAUUGUCGAACCUCAUCGCCUCUACGCUCCAGUGCGAUCCCCAAUUUCAUCGGAGGGAAGAUGAGUAGCCGUGCGAGCAGAACUCUAUAUGUGGGGAAUCUUCCUGGUGAUAUUCGUGAGAGGGAAGUGGAAGAUUUGUUUUACAAGUAUGGACGAAUUGCCCAUAUUGACCUUAAGGUCCCUCCUAGGCCCCCUGGUUAUGCGUUUGUUGAGUUUGAGGAUGCUAGAGAUGCUGAAGAUGCAAUCCGUGGUCGUGAUGGCUAUGAUUUUGAUGGGCAUCGUUUACGGGUAGAAUUAGCACAUGGAGGGCGUGGACACUCAUCAUCAUCAGAUCGUUAUAGCAGUUACAGUGGCGGUAGGGGUGGACGAGGAGUAUCAAGACGUUCAGAGUACCGUGUGUUAGUCACUGGAUUACCUUCUUCGGCAUCAUGGCAAGAUCUUAAGGAUCACAUGCGGCGUGCAGGUGAUGUUUGUUUCUCCCAAGUCUUCCGUGAUGGUAGUGGCACAACUGGGAUUGUGGACUACACCAACCAUGAUGACAUGAAGUAUGCGAUGUGAUUCUGAAUAUCUAUAAAUAUUUUGUCUGUAGAUCAAGAAACUUGAUGACUCUGAGUUCCGGAAUGCUUUUUCUCGGGCAUAUGUUCGUGUAAGGGAAUAUGAUUCAAGGAGGGACUCAUCGAGGAGUCCUAGCCGUGGUCGAUCUCAUUCAAGGAACAGGAGCUAUAGCCGAAGCCGUAGCCGAAGCCGAAGCCGUAGUCAGAGCAGAAGCAGGAGCUUUAUAACUAUAUUGCAGCAAGUCUCCAAAAGCCAAAUCUUCGCGUCGCUCACCUGCUAAAUCCCAGUCAAGGUCAAGAUCUCGAUCACGGUCAGGAUCGAAAUCACCCUCCUUGUCAGGAUAUGAUGGAUUUAUGCAGCAAACUGGGAUUGGAUAUUAGGAUCUUGAUUGGAUAUGGUUCAAUUGCUUGCAUCUCUUUUGGUUGUGGAGAUUGGGGACAAAGGAGUUCAUGGAUUACAAUAUAAGAGCUGGAUAACUGUGUACUAAGUGCCAUUGGGAUUUGGAAGUCACCAUCAAUUUGCAGUAGAGACAAUUUCACUAUCAUUACCUGCUCCAACACUUGCCAAGCUAAUAGGACGCACAUUCUGGAUUCUCUGGAAUAUUGUGGUACAGUAGGGAUGACUACUCCUCUCCUGUCCACUGAUAUCUUAUAAACAAUUAUGCUUUUCUUAAGAUUUUUCUUCUCUGAGAAUUUAGGUCAUAUAGGUGGGAAUUAUGUGAAUUGGCCUAUUCUUUUUUCGCAUUUGUUGAACUGCUAAAUAUUUGUCUGUUUUCCUUUUAUCCAUAUUGGAUCUGGUAACUCUGACGUGGAAGAGGCAUCAAGGAUCUUGGAUCAAAUUUGGUUAAAGGAACAUGUGGAAUUUAAAUUGGUUGUUUCUGGAACUUUUGCAGAUCUCGUUCAAGAUCAAGAUCACCGUUACCUUCG